rnacentral:rRNA from 1 species
AGAUUGAACGCUGGCGGCAUGCCUAACACAUGCAAGUCGAACGGGAGUAGCAAUACUCUAGUGGCGGACGGGUGAGGAAUACGUAGGAAUUUGCCCUUAAGUGGGGGAUAACCCGGGGAAACCCGGAUUAAUACCGCAUGACCUCGAAAGAGCAAAGUGGGGGAUCGCAAGACCUCACGCUUUUGGAGAAGCCUACGUCGGAUUAGCUAGUUGGUGAGGUAAUGGCUCACCAAGGCGACGAUCCGUAACUGGUCUGAGAGGAUGAUCAGUCACACCGGAACUGAGACACGGUCCGGACUCCUACGGGAGGCAGCAGUGGGGAAUAUUGGACAAUGGGCGCAAGCCUGAUCCAGCAAUGACCGCGUGUGGUGAAGAAGGCCUUCGGGUUGUAAAGC